rnacentral:pre_miRNA from 1 species
CAAAUACUCCCUCCGUCCGGAAAUACUUGCCAUCAAAAUGGAUAAAAGGAAAUGUAUCUAGACGUAUUUUAGUUUUAGAUACAUCUCUUUUUAUCCAUUUUUAUGACAAGUAUUUUCGGACGGAGGGAGUAGAAA